GCCAAGAGAGUGUUAAUUACAUGUUUCCUGUUUCCAGAUAUAUAGAUCAAGGUCGAAACCCACAACUCUACACCAAAGAGUGCCUGGAAAGAGCUCUGGCGAAAAAUGAACAAGUUAAAGGGAAGAUUGAUACAAUGAAGAAAUUUAAAAGCCUGUUGAUUCAAGAGCUUUCUAAAGUCUUUCCAGAAGAUAUGGCUAAGUACCGAAGCAUCCGAGGGGAGGAACAUCCCCCGUCAUAACUUCCUCUUCGAACAUCUAGUCCUGUGAAUCACUGUAACCUUCAGGCAGCUUGUGACUGAGCGGCCUCAGAGACAGGAGGCCUAGAGGACUUUGUAGAGCUGUGCUGCCAGCAGCCCCCUCUUUGCAGAGGGCUGGUGAGUGCACAUUUUUGAGCGCGAUGCAUUUGAUCCUGUACGGCAGAAUUAUCUUGGAAAUAUUAAAUACGGUAGGUAAAGUAAAGGGUUUAAAAAUAUUACCUAAGACUUUUCUGUUUGUGUACUUCUCUUUUUCAUUUUAUUAUGAUGUCAAAGAAAGCUAAAAAAAUUAAAGAAAAGGUUUAAUAUGAGAAA